rnacentral:misc_RNA from 1 species
UGUCAAUGGAGUUCUUAGACGAAGACGCCAAACCCAGAUUUCUCUUCCAAUCAAAGCCAUUGCAGCAAUCCAAUUCCGAUCCGGAAACCCAAACCCGUUCUCUAUACCGACCCGGAAUCAUCAUCUCCAUCUCUCUUGCUGUUCUUUUCUUCGCUCUUUCGAUCCUCUAUUUCUCUUUUGAACCCUUCGGAUCCAUCUUCUUAUGGAUCUCUCUUUCCCUCCUUGUCGGACCGUUUGCUCCUUCUUCUGUCACAGGUGGUGAUAUCCGGGUCGGACUCGGAGAACCCAUUCAAGACCUGCCUAAAGAUGAUCUUUCUGAUACCGAACCCGAUACGAAAAAAUCAAACAGAAGAUCUAACAGACCCACCAAGAAAAAUGUUGACUUUGAGCCUGUGUUAGCUACCAAUUAUGAUCUAAAACCGGAGAAAACUAAUGGGUCGGUGGCAAAUUCGAAGAAUAGUAAUGGGUCGGUUGCGAAUCUGGAGAAAAAAGUGGGGGAUGGUGUGUGGAAUGAAGGGGAUGAGGAGUUGCUGAGGAAGAUGACGGGGAAGCAUCCAGUGGGGAAACCGGGGCGGUGGGAGGCGAUAGCAGAUGGGUUUAACGGGAGAUACAAAGUGGAAAGUGUGAUUAAGAAAUCUAAAGAAUUGGGUGAGAAGAAAAUGAGUGAUGGGGAUUCCUAUCAGAGGUUUUUGAAGGACAGGAAAACAGUUGAUAAGAGAGCUGAGGGUGGAAAUGAGGCUGAUUUCGAAAAUGUGGAGGCGAAAAAGGCGGUGGAGAGUGGAUGGAGUAGUGGGGAGGAUUUAGCUUUGCUUAAUGCAUUGAAGACAUUUCCAAAGGAAGUGGCAAUGAGGUGGGAGAAAAUAGCAGCUGCUGUGCCUGGGAAGAACAAAGCAGCUUGUAUGAAAAGAAUGGCUGAGUUGAAGAAGGAUUUUAGAAGCUCUAAGUCUGCUAAUGCUGAAGCUUAGGCAUAAAGAUCAGUUAUUGAUUCAAAUCUCAUAGGAAAAUUUUCAGCUAUGUUGAGGUAACAUAUUUUACGAUAUACAAUACUUACUUAUUUGUUCGAAAUCACUACUUCAUUAAUUGACAUUGUGAUUUGUUGAGGAAGAAAUUGUAAGUCGACCAGUUGUUCAGUUAAAAAGUUUUGAAGUUAUG